rnacentral:misc_RNA from 1 species
ACCCCCUUUAGGUAAAAAUUUUUUUAUUUUUAAAAGGAUUCUGUUUAUAGAAAGGUGGUGGGCUGCCCGGGACUCGAACCCGGAA